AACGAACGCUGGCGGCAUGCCUAACACAUGCAAGUCGAACGAGACCUUCGGGUCUAGUGGCGCACGGGUGCGUAACGCGUGGGAACCUGCCCUUAGGUUCGGAAUAACUCCCCGAAAGGGGUGCUAAUACCGGAUAAUGUCUUCGGACCAAAGAUUUAUCGCCUUUGGAUGGGCCCGCGUUGGAUUAGCUAGUUGGUAGGGUAAAAGCCUACCAAGGCGACGAUCCAUAGCUGGUCUGAGAGGAUGAUCAGCCACACUGGGACUGAGACACGGCCCAGACUCCUACGGGAGGCAGCAGUGGGGAAUAUUGGACGAUGGGCGAAAGCCUGAUCCAGCAAUGCCGCGUGAGUGAUGAAGGCCUUAGGGUUGUAAAGCUCUUUUACCCGGGAUGAUAAUGACAGUACCGGGAGUAUAAGCUCCGGCUAACUCCGUG
rnacentral:rRNA from 1 species